CGAAGGGUGCAAGCGUUAAUCGGAAUUACUGGGCGUAAAGCGCGCGUAGGUGGCUUGAUAAGUUGGAUGUGAAUCCCCGGGCUCGAACCUGGGAACUGCAUCCAAAACUGUCUGGCUAGAGUGCGGUAGAGGGUAGUGGAAUUUCCAGUGUAGCGGUGAAAUGCGUAGAUAUUGGAAGGACACCAGUGCGAAGGCGACUACCUGGACUGACACUGACACUGAGUGCGAAAGCGUGGGAGCAAACAGGAUU
rnacentral:rRNA from 1 species